rnacentral:rRNA from 1 species
UACGAAGGGUGCAAACGUUGCUCGGAAUUAUUGGGCGUAAAGCGCACGUAGGCGGCUUAGCAAGUCGGACGUGAAAUCCCUCAGCUUAACUGGGGAACUGCGUGUAAGACUGGCAGGCUUGAGUGCAGGAGAGGAACGCGGAAUUCCAGGUGUAGCGGUGAAAUGCGUAGAUAUCUGGAGGAACACCGGUGGCGAAGGCGGCGUUCUGGACUGUAUCUGACACUGAGGAACGAAAGCCAGGGGAGCAAACGGG